AGAGAAAGCAAUAAAUAGUUUAUUUAAGGUUUUUUUAUUUCUCUCAGCUGUUAAUUUAAUUAAUACUAUAGUAGAGUCUCAUAGCUCAGCUGGUUAGAGCGCUACACUGAUAAUGUAGAGGUCGGCAGUUCGAGUCUGCCUGAGACUACUAAAUAGGAAAUUCUAGAGGUUGGGUAUCCAAGUUGGCGUAUAAGUCAUCAUUUAACUGAUAACUGUUAACUGAUAACUGACUGCUAAAAUUAAGGGGGAUUAGCUCAGCUGGCUAGAGCGCUUGCCUUGCACGCAAGAGGUCAUUGGUUCGACUCCGAUAUUCUCCACGAAUCAGAGUUAUCUGAUAGAAGUUCAUUGACAUAUUGAAAAGAUACAUGAAAUACAUAAAGACUAUGUUUAAAUACAUAGUUAAAAAUAAACUCAUUAAAAAGACAAAAGUAC
rnacentral:tRNA from 1 species